rfam:Hordeum vulgare subsp. vulgare, WGS project CAJW01000000 data, contig: morex_contig_39182
CAUGUAUUCCCUCCGUCUUAAAAUUAUUGUCUUAAAUUUGUCUAGAUAUAAAUGUAUAUAGUCAUGUUUUAAUAUCUUAAUACAUUAUUUUUAGACAAAUCUAAAACAAGAAUUUUAAGACGAAGGGAGUAGAAU